ensembl:lncRNA
CCAAAUGUUGAGUGUUAGCAUCAUGCUAAGGAUGGUUCAUAGAUAUUUGCAUUGAAUCCCUGCAAUUACUGUCUGAAAUGGAAAUAACUUGCUAUCUUACUUCAAGCUCCUGCUUUGACUACCACACUCUACUGCUUCCAACAAAGGGUUUUUUGUGUGUUUUUUUUUUUUUUUUUUCCCCAAGGAACCAUUGUUUGGGGGCAUAGCCUCUAGUUCAGAGGGAUACUUAGAAACGGAAAAUGUUUCCUUUACUUGUCAAAGAAGUUGUUGGGAAAUCUAUAGGCCAGGGUAAAGGAAGUACAUGGCUCAUUAGCAGCAGAAGAAAUACAGAUUAAGCCAGUUGGUCUUAUUACAUUUCUAUAAUAGGGGUAGAGCAGGCCACGCAGUCAUUAUCUGGACACGCUUAGCACUGUUCUCGCGAGACCCUGAGCACUGUUCUCGCGAGACCCUGAGCUCUGAGGUUUGAGGAUCAGCUCUACUAACAGUCAGCUUCACUGUGGUCCUCGUGGCAGAGAGUGUAGUGUGAGGUGGAUUGCAGCCUUCUCCUGAAGCCCUCCAGGCCUAGAGGCCAGCAGGGGCAGCAGCCUAGAGGAGCAACCCCACGUCCAAGGAGCGGAGGCUGCACAGGCGCAGGAGGGCUGAGAGGAGCUACUUCACGUUCAAGAUCAGGAAGGGCAGCCGUGAGGAGAUACCCCCAUCCAAGGCAAGGAGCAGUGGCUGCGCUCUGCUGGAGCGGCUGUGAAGAGAUACCCCACGUCCAAGAAUCUUUAAGGUUACAAGAAUCAUGCACUAGAGGCUAUUUCUCCUUGUUUCAGAAAGAUGAGGAACUUGAUCAGAAGAGUGAGAGGUUCACUCUGGAAUUCUCUCAUGGGACUCUUCAAUUAAGUUGUUGUGACAUUUAAUACAACCCUCAUGAUUUAUGAGAAGUCAGAGAAUCCUGGGGAUCUUCCUGACCCAGGGAUCAAACCUGCAUCUCUUAUGUCUCCUGCAUUGGAAGAUGGAUUCUUUACUGCUAGCGCCACCUGGGAAGCCCAGUAACCUCUGAUAUACCUCCAAAUCAAAAGCAGCCUUCAUGGAUAUUGAAUGCUUAUAGUUUUCCUUUUUUAAGGAAAAGUGAAUUCUAAAAUUUUAAAUUAAAUAGUUUAAUGG